GACAGAGGUGCCGAGCGUUAGGCGGAAUCACUGGGCUUAAAGCGUGUGUAGGCGGACUUCUAAGUACCUUGUGAAAUGCCAAGGCUCAACCUUGGAACUGCCUUUGAUACUGGAGACCUUGAGUCCGGGAGAGGUGAGUGGAAUUGCGAGUGUAGAGGUGAAAUUCGUAGAUAUUCGCAAGAACACCAGUGGCGAAGGCGGCUCACUGGCCCGGAACUGACGCUGAGACGCGAAAGCGUGGGGAGCAAACAGG
rnacentral:rRNA from 1 species